rnacentral:rRNA from 1 species
CUACCCUCGGUGUCUGGGACAACAUCUCGAAAGGGGUGCUAAUACCGGAUAAGACCACAUCCUGUUCGCAGGGAGUGGUAAAAGGUGGCCUCUCCAUGGAAGCUAUCGCCUGAGGAUGAGCCCGCGCCCCAUCAGCCUGUUGGUAGGGUAAUGGCCUACCAAAGCUGAGACGGGUAGCUGGUCUGAGAGGAUGAGCAGCCACACUGGAACUGAGACACGGUCCAG